UGGGGAAUAUUGCACAAUGGGCGCAAGCCUGAUGCAGCCAUGCCGCGUGUAUGAAGAAGGCCUUCGGGUUGUAAAGUACUUUCAGUCGGGAGGAAGGUGUCAAGGUUAAUAACCUUGGCAAUUGACGUUACCGACAGAAGAAGCACCGGCUAACUCCGUGCCAGCAGCCGCGGUAAUACGGAGGGUGCAAGCGUUAAUCGGAAUUACUGGGCGUAAAGCGCACGCAGGCGGUUGAUUGAGUUAGAUGUGAAAUCCCCGGGCUUAACCCGGGAAUUGCAUCUGAUACUGGUCAGCUAGAGUCUUGUAGAGGGGGGUAGAAUUCCAUGUGUAGCGGUGAAAUGCGUAGAGAUGUGGAGGAAUACCGGUGGCGAAGGCGGCCCCCUGGACAAAGACUGACGCUCAGGUGCGAAAGCGUGGGGAGCAAACAGG
rnacentral:rRNA from 1 species